rnacentral:rRNA from 1 species
AUUGAACGCUGGCGGCAUGCCUAACACAUGCAAGUCGAACGAACCCUUCGGGGUUAGUGGCGCACGGGUGCGUAACGCGUGGGAAUCUGCCCUUUGCUUCGGAAUAACAGUUAGAAAUGACUGCUAAUACCGGAUGAUGUCUUCGGACCAAAGAUUUAUCGGCAAGGGAUGAGCCCGCGUAGGAUUAGGUAGUUGGUGGGGUAAAGGCCUACCAAGCCGACGAUCCUUAGCUGGUCUGAGAGGAUGAUCAGCCACACUGGGACUGAGACACGGCCCAGACUCCUACGGGAGGCAGCAGUGGGGAAUAUUGGACAAUGGGCGCAAGCCUGAUCCAGCAAUGCCGCGUGAGUGAUGAAGGCCUUCGGGUCGUAAAGCUCUUUUACCAGGGAUGAUAAUGACAGUACCUGGAGAAUAAGCUCCGGCUAACUCCGUGCCAGCCGCCGCAGUAAUAC